CCUACGGGAGGCAGCAGUGGGGAAUCUUGGGCAAUGGGCGCAAGCCUGACCCAGCAACGCCGCGUGAAGGAAGAAGGCUCUCGGGUUGUAAACUUCUUUUAUCAGGGACGAAGCAAGUGAAGGUAACUGAUGAAUAAGCCACGGCUAACUACGUGCCAGCAGCCGCGGGAAUAAGUAGGUGGCAAGCAUUAUCCGGAUUUACUGGGUGUAAAAGGCGUGUAGGGGGUAAAGUAAGACAGAUGGGAAAACCAUGGGAUGAAACUGUGGCCUGCAUUUGAAACUGUUUUUCUUGAGUACUGGAGAGGCAGACGGAAUGCCUAGUGUAGCGGUGAAAUGCGUAGAUAUUAUGAGGAACACCAGUGGCGAAGGCGGUCUGCUGGACAGCAACUGACGCUGAGGCGCGAAAGCGUGGGGAGCAAACAGGAUUAGAUACCCGGGUAGUC
rnacentral:rRNA from 1 species